rnacentral:rRNA from 15 species
GUGAACAGCAGUUGGACACGGGUCAAUCGAUCCUAAGAGAUAGGGUAAUUCCGUUUUAAUGUCGGCGCUUGCGCCGCGCCCUCGAAAGGGAAACCAGUUAAAAUUCUGGUAUCUGGAUAUGGAUUCUCCGCGGCAACGCAACUGAGAGCGGAGACCUUGGCGGGAGCCCCAAGAAGAGUUCUCUUUUCUUCUUAACUGUCUAUCACCCUGAAAUCGGUUUGUCCGGAGCUAGGGUUUAAUGGCAGGGAGAGCAG